CAAAAAAUUGCACUUGUGCAAUUAUUUCUUCAAAUUUCAAAUUGACAUUAUUGAAGAGCAAAUGAUUGUCAGUAUUAUCUGGAUAAACAUUGAAAAAUAAACAAACAGCCACUUUUCAUUAAACAGUAUCCAUGCAUUUUGGUAUAAUGUUAACAUUAUCCAAAUCUGAACUUUACUCAUAACAUAUAUAUUAUAUAAAAUUUCAGUGAUGCUUUGUUCUAUAUAUGAGGUAUUUUAUCAAAUUUCACUGUAAAACACAGUCAGCUUGAUUUGUCACGUGAAAUGAUUUUUACUUUAUGUCCAUUGAGAUAAGAUUUGAUUCGCCUCUAUCCUCCACAAUUCAGUUGUCAGUCUUUGACAAUCCAAUAUUUUUUAACAUUAACCAGUUGAAUAUGAGAUAUAGUAUUGCCUUAUUACCUGAAGUUUUAGAUUCAAUUUCAGAUCUGUGAUCCAUAUUUUUUCAAAUAAGGUCAUGACUUGACCUAAAUUUAUUCAACUGAUACUCAUCCUAUUACAAGAAUGAGUAGCCAUUUAUUUAUGGAAUAUAAGUGAACAAUAGUUUGAUUUAAUUAGUUUUUAUUAAUCCAUCUUAUUAUUCAUGAGAUACUGUAUUGUAUCAGACUGGCCAACAUUCAAAUAAUAAAGCAUAAGAGCCACUGGAGCCUAUUCUAUAAUAAGAUGAUAAAGCAGGCCCCAGCAGCCCUUAUGCUCUAUCGUUUUAUUGUAGCACAUCUACCAGGAGCUGAUAUGGCUAUCAUCAGAGAUAUAUGUCAUUUGAUUACAUAUAAUUCCUAUUACUUCUUUCGUGGUCAAUAUUAUUUUCAGAAGAGUGGAGUCCCUAUAGGUGUACUCUUAGCUGGGAUCAUGGCUGAGUUGGUGGUCAGAUAUAAGGAGUCUACUGUAUUAGUCUAUUAGGAC
rnacentral:lncRNA from 1 species